rfam:Gossypium arboreum cultivar AKA8401 contig_125_19, whole genome shotgun sequence.
UGUUAAAAGUUUCAUCCAUUUGUACGGUUAUCAACUGACGUGGUUGACGGAAUAAUUAGACAAUAAUACAUGGCAUGCCAUGUGUAUAUUAUGAUGACGUACAAUGGCCAAUUUUAAACAGUAAAAAUGCUGAAAUUUUUAACU